AUGGGGCACUGGCUGGUGGAUGGUGGAGGUGGUACAGGGGGCCUAGUGGUAGUAAUGGGGCACUGGCUGGUGGAUGGUGGUUUCACAAAACUGAGGUUUAGGGGUGCCGGCGACCUAGUGGAGGUAGUGGGACAUGGAAUAGGAGGUUGGAGAAGCUUUUCAGCACAAGCUGGGCCACUGAGGAGAGCUGUUUGCAGAGAAGAUUGUAGAUGUGGUCAGUGUCACUCAAGAAUUAUUUCCUGUAUAUUCUUGUUCAUUGAGUAAAUGUGUAUCUUUUGUUUCAACAGCUGACACUUUCUCCAUGACAGAGGAAAGGAACAUUUGAUCUGGGGAAAUAAAUUAUAAAUAAAACACUUGCACAAAUCAUUGGUUACUUGUAAUUAUUUCACAGUCAUGUGGUUUAUUUACCAUUUUGCAUCCUUUCAGCGAUGUCCUUGGAAACAUGACAAC
ensembl:lncRNA